AGUGAACGCUGGCGGUAGGCCUAACACAUGCAAGUCGAACGGCAGCACAGUAAGAGCUUGCUCUUACGGGUGGCGAGUGGCGGACGGGUGAGGAAUACAUCGGCAUCUACUUUUUCGUGGGGGAUAACGUAGGGACACUUACGCUAAUACCGCAUACGACCUACGGGUGAAAGCAGGGGUUCUUCGGACCUUGCGCGAUUGAAUGAGCCGAUGUCGGAUUAGCUAGUUGGCGGGGUAAAGGCCCACCAAGGCGACGAUCCGUAGCUGGUCUGAGAGGAUGAUCAGCCACACUGGAACUGAGACACGGUCCAGACUCCUACGGGAGGCAGCAGUGGGGAAUAUUGGACAAUGGGCGCAAGCCUGAUCCAGCCAUACCGCGUGAGUGAAGAAGGCCUUCGGGUUGUAAAGCCCUUUUGUUGGGAAAGAAAAGCAGCAUGUUAAUACCCCGCUGUUCUGACGGUACCCAAAGAAUAAGCACCGGCUAACUUCGUG
rnacentral:rRNA from 1 species